rnacentral:rRNA from 1 species
UACGUAGGGUGCAAGCGUUGUCCGGAAUUAUUGGGCGUAAAGAGCUCGUAGGCGGUUUGUUGCGUCGGCUGUGAAAACCUGGGGCUUAACCCCGGGCCUGCAGUGGGUACGGGCAGACUAGAGUGUGGUAGGGGAGACUGGAAUUCCUGGUGUAGCGGUGAAAUGCGCAGAUAUCAGGAGGAACACCGGUGGCGAAGGCGGGUCUCUGGGCCAUAACUGACGCUGAGGAGCGAAAGCGUGGGGAGCGAACAGG